rnacentral:rRNA from 1 species
UGCGCAGGCGGUUUUGUAAGUCAGCUGUGAAAUCCCCGGGCUUAACCUGGGAAUGGCAGUUGAGACUGCAAAGCUAGAGUGUGUCAGAGGGGGGUAGAAUUCCACGUGUAGCAGUGAAAUGCGUAGAGAUGUGGAGGAAUACCGAUGGCGAAGGCAGCCCCCUGGGAUAACACUGACGCUCAUGCACGAAAGCGUGGGGAGCAAACAGGAUUAGAUACCCUGGUAGUCCACGCCCUAAACGAUGUCAACUAGUUGUCGGGACUUUAUUGUCUUGGUAACGCAGCUAACGCGUGAAGUUGACCGCCUGGGGAUACGGUCGCAAGAUUAAA